UACGUAGGUGGCAAGCGUUGUCCGGAAUUACUGGGCGUAAAGCGUGCGUAGGCGGUUCGUUAAGUCUGAUGUGAAAGCCCUGGGCUCAACCUGGGAAUGGCAUUGGAAACUGUCGAACUAGAGUGCGGUAGAGGGGAGUGGAAUUCCCGGUGUAGCAGUGAAAUGCGUAGAGAUCGGGAGGAACAUCUGUGGCGAAGGCGACUGCCUGGACCAGCACUGACACUGAGGCACGAAAGCGUGGGGAGCAAACAGG
rnacentral:rRNA from 1 species